AUUGAACGCUGGCGGCAUGCCUUACACAUGCAAGUCGAACGGCAGCGGGGGAGAAGCUUGCUUUUCCUGCCGGCGAGUGGCGAACGGGUGAGUAAUACAUCGGAACGUGCCCUGUAGUGGGGGAUAACUAGUCGAAAGAUUAGCUAAUACCGCAUACGACCUGAGGGUGAAAGUGGGGGACCGCAAGGCCUCCUGCUAUAGGAGCGGCCGAUGUCUGAUUAGCUAGUUGGUGGGGUAAAGGCCUACCAAGGCGACGAUCAGUAGCUGGUCUGAGAGGACGAUCAGCCGCACUGGGACUGAGACACGGCCCAGACUCCUACGGGAGGCAGCAGUGGGGAAUUUUGGACAAUGGGCGAAAGCCUGAUCCAGCAAUGCCGCGUGUGUGAAGAAGGCCUUCGGGUUGUAAAGCACUUUUGUCCGGAAAGAAAUGGCUCUGGUUAAUACCUGGGGUCGAUGACGGUACCGGAAGAAUAAGGACCGGCUAACUACGUGCCAGCAGCCGCCGUAA
rnacentral:rRNA from 1 species